GCCAAGUUUCAGAUAUUUUUUAUCAUAGAAAACUAAACGGAUCAGCAGAUCACUGGUUUCAUGAAAACGUGUAAAAAGUGUAGAAUACGUGGCUGCAAGAGAAAUGGCAGAAUAACAAUUAAAAUGUGGUUGACUGGUCGUCGUGUGAACUUAUUUUGUGUCGUGACUCCUCAUGCUCUCCACUUCAUGCUAUUUCUCAAGGAAAUAAACUGUGAUAAAACUAAGAAUCAUACGGUUGCAAUGAUAUUGGGAGCUUGUACAGAAGAGUUGUUCUAAAUUUGUGAAAUGUUGGUGCCUGACUGCAGUGACUAGCAAUUAUCAUCUUUCAGGUCUGAGCCACCAUCGUGAACACAAGAUCUGCAAGUUUUGAUACUGACCGUCAUCACCAACAAUCUCAGCAUCAUCAAUUGGAUAAACAGCAUCCAGUUUGAUUGGGAAAACUCUGUCCUCGU